rnacentral:lncRNA from 1 species
GAAAGUCACUUGCAAGCUAACAUUACAGCCGCCAGAAACAAACACAGUGCAGACUUAGCCAAUAAGCUAACCAACUUGUUUGCAGAUAAACUGUCCUUGUAGCAGGGACAACAGAAACAAGCAUCAUUCUCUGUUCUUGAAUCUGAAUCAACUCGACCCCAAAAAUAAGUGAGAAAAAGACUGCUCAUGACCAAUACAGAAACCGUAUAAACAUUGGAAUUAAUUUUGAAUGGUGGAAGAAUGAUGCCAAAAUGGCCACUGUUCUAAUGGACUGGUAGUUCCCAGUUGUCUUGUAAGCACCAUGAAUCCAGAGAAUGCCAGACUUUGAUGACAAAGUUUGAUGACAAAAUUUGCCCACGAAGGACCGCCGCUCCACCUUCUGGUUCAAGUGAACGCAGCACAACAAGGAAACUAGGCGUAUGUCGCAGGUCACUACUUCACAGGAGAGCCAUUUGAACGUAAGUUUUUUUUAUCAAAAUGCGUUUUUUUUUUCUUCAGAAAUGCCUUCUGGAACAUGUGAACUUUCAUGUGCC